UGAGCAAUCUGCCCUUCUCUUCGGAAUAAGCGUGGGAAACCGCGUCUAAUGCCGAAUACGACCUCCUUUCGCAUGAUCGGAGGUGGAAAGCUCCGGCGGAGAAGGAUGAGCUCGCGGCCUAUCAGCUAGUUGGUGUGGGUAAUGGCCCACAAGGCGACGACGGGUAGCCGGCCUGAGAGGGUGACCGGCCACACGUGGGACUGAGACACGGCCCAGACCUCCGUACGGGAGGCAGCG
rnacentral:rRNA from 1 species